AGACCCGAAACCCGGUGAUCUAGCCAUGGGCAGGUUGAAGGUUGGGUAACACUAACUGGAGGACCGAACCGACUAAUGUUGAAAAAUUAGCGGAUGACCUGUGGCUGGGGGUGAAAGGCCAAUCAAACCGGGAGAUAGCUGGUUCUCCCCGAAAGCUAUUUAGGUAGCGCCUCGUGAAUUCAUCUCCGGGGGUAGAGCACUGUUUCGGCUAGGGGGCCAUCCCGGCUUACCAACCCGAUGCAAACUGCGAAUACCGGAGAAUGUUAUCACGGGAGACACACGGCGGGUGCUAACGUCCGUCGUGAAGAGGGAAACAACCCAGACCGCCAGCUAAGGUCCCAAAGUCAUGGUUAAGUGGGAAACGAUGUGGGAAGGCCCAGACAGCCAGGAUGUUGGCUUAGAAGCAGCCAUCAUUUAAAGAAAGCGUAAUAGCUCACUGGUCGAGUCGGCCUGCGCGGAAGAUGUAACGGGGCUAAACCAUGCACCGAAGCUGCGGCAGCGAACGUAUCACCCAAGACAACUUUACGGAGUUGACGAUUGACGGAGCGAAGCGACGUCAAAGCGUUCAUUAAAGUCGAGUUGGCUUAGGGAUACGUUCGUUGGGUAGGGGAGCGUUCUGUAAGCCUGUGAAGGUGUGUCGUGAGGCAUGCUGGAGGUAUCAGAAGUGCGAAUGCUGACAUAAGUAACGAUAAAGCGGGUGAAAAGCCCGCUCGCCGGAAGACCAAGGGUUCCUGUCCAACGUUAAUCGGGGCAGGGUGAGUCGACCCCUAAGGCGAGGCCGAAAGGCGUAGUCGAUGGGAAACGGGUUAAUAUUCCUGUACUUGGUGUUACUGCGAAGGGGGGACGGAGAAGGCUAUGUUGGCCG
rnacentral:rRNA from 1 species